rnacentral:tRNA from 72 species
GCCGGAAUAGCUCAGUUGGUAG